rnacentral:lncRNA from 1 species
CAUUUUGAAAUUCCCAGGAGAUAAGGCUGUGUUUGAGCAAACCCAAAUCGCUGGACCUCACAAGUUGCCACACAGCAGAGCUGUUGUUGCCCUUCAGUCAGCUCUAAUUUUGAAUUAAUUGAGUGAGUUUUUGCCAUUUCUGCGAACAGCCUCGAACUACAGAGCCACAGCCAAACAUCUUCAUUUGAAAAGCUGCUGCUGCCUCUAAACUCAGACAUGUUGCACACCCCUUUGGAAUGCCCUGGAAAGCAGCUCUGCACUCCCCUGGAGAUGGAAGAUGACAAUUUGGAUAAGGUGUUUUCCCCUGGAGAACCCCAUGAAACAACAAAACCAUUGCAUCAUGUCCUCCUCCAGAUCCUCACCAAUGCCAGGUUCCACACUACAGCUGAGAAAGAAAACCUCGAUAACACCAACAGACUACAUGCCAACAAGGAAAAACUGGAAAAUCAAGCUGACUCCUCUUCACAGAGUAACAGCCUGCUUCUGAUCCCAUCAGAGAGGGGAAAAUGUUAUCUUGCACCCCAAGUCAGCAUUUCUUUGGGAUUAGGUCUGCAGUUUAGGAAUUCUGGAAGAGAAGAAAGAAAUGAGGAGAAAAAUCCCUGGAGUUCAAGAAGAUUCCUGAAGUGGAGAUAA